rnacentral:rRNA from 1 species
AGUGAACGCUGGCGGUAGGCCUAACACAUGCAAGUCGAACGGCAGCACAGUAAGAGCUUGCUCUUACGGGUGGCGAGUGGCGGACGGGUGAGGAAUACAUCGGAAUCUACUUUUUCGUGGGGGAUAACGUAGGGAAACUUACGCUAAUACCGCAUACGACCUACGGGUGAAAGCAGGGGAUCUUCGGACCUUGCGCGAUUGAAUUAGCCGAUGUCGGAUUAGCUAGUUGGCGGGGUAAAGGCCCACCAAGGCGGCGAUCCGUAGCUGGUCUGAGAGGAUGAUCAGCCACACUGGAAGUGAGACACGGUCCAGACUCCUACGGGAGGCAGCAGUGGGGAAUAUUGGACAAUGGGCGCAAGCCUGAUCCAGCCAUACCGCGUGGGUGAAGAAGGCCUUCGGGUUGUAAAGCCCUUUUGUUGGGAAAGAAAAGCAGCAGGUUAAUACCCCGCUGUUCUGACGGUACCCAAAGAAUAAGCACCGGCUAACUUCGUG